GUAGGUGGCAAGCGUUGUCCGGAAUUAUUGGGCGUAAAGCGCGCGCAGGUGGUUCUUUAAGUCUGAUGUGAAAGCCCCCGGCUCAACCGGGGAGGGUCAUUGGAAACUGGGGAACUUGAGUGCAGGAGAGGAAAGUGGAAUCCCACGUGUAGCGGUGAAAUGCGUAGAUAUGUGGAGGAACACCAGUGGCGAAGGCGACUUUCUGGCCUGUAACUGACACUGAGGCGCGAAAGCGUGGGGAGCAAACAGGGAUUAGAUACCCUGGUAGUCCACGCCGUAAACGAUGAGUGCUAAGUGUUGGGGGGGUUUCCCGCCCCUCAGUGCUGCAGCUAACGCAUUAAGCACUCCGCCUGGGGAUACGGUCGCAAGACUG
rnacentral:rRNA from 1 species